rnacentral:rRNA from 1 species
GAUGAACGCUGGCGGCGUGCCUAAUACAUGCAAGUCGAGCGAACGGACGAGAAGCUUGCUUCUCUGAUGUUAGCGGCGGACGGGUGAGUAACACGUGGAUAACCUACCUAUAAGACUGGGAUAACUUCGGGAAACCGUAGCUAAUACCGGAUAAUAUUUUGAACCGCAUGGUUCAAAAGUGAAAGACGGUCUUGCUGUCACUUAUAGAUGGAUCCGCGCUGCAUUAGCUAGUUGGUAAGGUAACGGCUUACCAAGGCAACGAUGCAUAGCCGACCUGAGAGAGUGAUCGGCCACACUGGAACUGAGACACGGACCAGACUCCUACGGGAGGCAGCAGUAGGGAAUCUUCCGCAAUGGGCGAGAGCCUGACGGAGCAACGCCGCGUGAGUGAUGAAGGUCUUCGGAUCGUAAAACUCUGUUAUUAGGGAAGAACAUAUGUGUAAGUAACUGUGCACAUCUUGACGGUACCUAAUCAGAAAGCCACGGCUAACUACGUG